UUUAUUUUAUUUUUGUUUUUUAAAUCAAGUUUCCCACACCCACAUGGCAACCCAACCCAGUCCAGUGGUGAAGGAUGGAUGUGUGUGGUCAGGGCGGGGAUGAUGGUUGGGGUGAUGGAGCUUCUGAUCCAUCUUAGGAAACUGGAUUUUGCAAAAGUACCAAGUUUCUAAAUCAAGGUUAGAACUCUAAGGUUCCAUCAACUCCCAACAGCAACUCUCCCUGACUCCCUCUCCCACUCAUUCUCUGCUACCUCAGGGUGAAACUGUGAUUCUCAAGAAGUUCAGGAGUCACUGGGAGAGGAUGAGGAUCUACUAUCUAAUUUCCAUUGCUAAAAUGUUCAUUCAUUUGGCCCUUUACUCCUUCAAAAAGACUAUGUGGUAGAGUGCCAGCAAAGAUCAUUGCUUCAAGCUCAGUUCCUGUACUUUCUAGCUUAGUGACUCGCUUGACUUCACUGAAAUUCGGUUUACCCGUAUAUGAUGGAUGGAUAGUAAUAUGUUUCCCAUCUCACAAGGACCUGCUUCUGCCAUCUGCAUGCCCUUUGGAACAAAUUGUUCUCAUCUGCCUAUUCUGCCAAGAAACAUCUUCACAAACUUGGAGUAGACAGCCAUCUUAUUUAUGAGAUGAACACCUCUGGUGUGAAGGCUUGCUGAGUCCUUUUCAAAGCUGCUCUUUUGGUGCCCACCUUUUACCCAACUCUCAUCUGUGACUACAAGAAACUGAAGUAUGUGCAGUGGCCACACUCCAAUAAAACUGUCUCAGUACCCCA
rnacentral:lncRNA from 1 species